AAAGCAAAGUCCUCGAGCGACAGAAUCAUCCCAACAUCUGACUCUCACCGUCAGCAGCAGCAGCAGCAGCAGCGCAGUCACGAUAACGAGGAUAAUAAUGGAGUCCCGGCGACGGAAUCCCGCGGGCAAUCGGCGACUCUAUUUCGUAUUAAGGAAAACGCGACAGUCAUGCUCGUUUAUGAGGCGCUGCUCCGGGCUCGUGUAAACACCGACAGAGACGAUGCUCCGCCGAGAUCUUCACGGCCGAGAGGAGGCGAAGAAUCGACGGUCAUUAUUCCUCGUAAUAAUCAUUGGGCAGGAAGGAUCAACCCCUUGUCAAUCGACUUGUGAAUAACGAAGGGAAUUUUGUGAAUUUUUCUUUUCAAAUAUAUAGGCGAAAUCUUAAGAUGUAAAGAGUACAGAAAAAAUACUUAUAUUCGCAUAUGCCUGUGUAUUGGAUCGAACACCGGUCAUAAUUAAAGCCGCUAGCAUAUCGCAUAAAGAACGUAAAAAUGGCAUCCGUUUUAAACGAAUCUUCUCAUUUUAAAUAAGGACCGACUUUAAAAUAGACAAUCAGCUCCAUCAUCUUUGAUAAGUGCCUCUUGGAUUCCAAAUUAUCGAUAUUCCACUCACCGAGAUAGGAGACGAGCGAUCUUAACUAGCUUGUAACGGUCGUCGGGCAAAUGCCAAGGCCAAAUUCGAGAUUGUUGUGAGGAAACAUGACGCGGCGUUAUGCGCGCAAGAGUGUGUGUACGUGAUAUAAAGCCAAGUGUGACGAAGCCGCGCACGUAUAGUUACUUGGGAGCUUGGGACUCUUGCAGAGUUCAAGCUCCAGUUGUACGACAAAGCGGCGGAAAACCCGAGAAGGGUUUUCCGUGUGGUCCACAAAGACGUCGACUGCAGCGGCGUUUCAUCAAUCGAAAAAGACGACCGGCCGAAAGCUCCACGACGAGUAUCCGUGCACGGACGAAGGCCAUCAGAAUCAAAGGAUCCUGGCGAUAAUUUAUUUAAAUUUGUAAUAACGACCGUGUCGGAUGCGUUUCCGCAAGCUUUUUUCAAAUCCAACUCGCAAGCAAUCGAAUCCUGGCUUCGACUGCGCAUUUCUAUUGUAACAUCAAUAUUGUUUGAAAUAAACAUUUUUUUUCACAUGAAA